GAUGAACGCUGGCGGCGUGCCUAAUACAUGCAAGUCGAGCGAACGGACGAGAAGCUUGCUUCUCUGAUGUUAGCGGCGGACGGGUGAGUAACACGUGGAUAACCUACCUAUAAGACUGGGAUAACUUCGGGAAACCGGAGCUAAUACCGGAUAAUAUUUUGAACCGCAUGGUUCAAAAGUGAAAGACGGUCUUGCUGUCACUUAUAGAUGGAUCCGCGCUGCAUUAGCUAGUUGGUAAGGUAACGGCUUACCAAGGCAACGAUGCAUAGCCGACCUGAGAGGGUGGUCGGCCACACUGGAACUGAGACACGGUCCAGACUCCUACGGGAGGCAGCAGUAGGGAAUCUUCCGCAAUGGGCGAAAGCCUGACGGAGCAACGCCGCGUGAGUGAUGAAGGUCUUCGGAUCGUAAAACUCUGUUAUUAGGGAAGAACAUAUGUGUAAGUAACUGUGCACAUCUUGACGGUACCUAAUCAGAAAGCCACGGCUAAGUACGUG
rnacentral:rRNA from 1 species